GAUGAACGCUGGCGGCGUGCCUAAUACAUGCAAGUCGAGCGAACGGACGAGAAGCUUGCUUCUCUGAUGUUAGCGGCGGACGGGUGAGUAACACGUGGAUAACCUACCUAUAAGACUGUGAUAACUUCGGGAAACCGGAGCUAAUACCGGAUAAUAUUUUGAACCGCAUGGUUCAAAAGUGAAAGACGGUCUUGCUGUCACUUAUAGAUAGAUCCGCGCUGCAUUAGCUAGUUGGUAAGGUAACGGCUUACCAAGGCAACGAUGCAUAGCCGACCUGAGAGGGUGAUCGGCCACACUGGAACUGAGACACGGUCCAGACUCCUACGGGAGGCAGCAGUAGGGAAUCUUCCGCAAUGGGCGAAAGCCUGACGGAGCAACGCCGCGUGAGUGAUGAAGGUCUUCGGAUCGUAAAACUCUGUUAUUAGGGAAGAACAUAUGUGUAAGUAACUGUGCACAUCUUGACGGUACCUAAUCAGAAAGCCACGGCUAACUACGUG
rnacentral:rRNA from 1 species